ensembl:lncRNA
UGGAGAUACAAUGGUGAACCAGGCCCAUGGCUGCUUGAAUGAAUGGCUUUAACCAUCUAUUAAUAUAGCUGCUGUAGGAAGCAAGUGACAGUAACCACAGCUUUAGAAAAGAGGCCACAGCUCCACCCAGAAUUCUCGAGAGUUUUCCACACUUCUUGACAAUGAAUGUUCAGACUCAAAAGAAUACAUUGCGACUGGCACAGCAAGCAGCAUGAACAUCACAGUCGCCAGGGUCCCCUUGCUUCCCGAGUCCUCCAGCAGUGCCAGUGAGCCAUCCAGGGAAAACUACCGCUGUCUUCCACGGCAGUUUGCUGUGUGACCGUCCCAGCAGAGGGUGCGCAGAGCAGAAUUUGUUUUGGCCCAGGAGAUACAGAAACACAAGGGCCCUGUACGGAACAGUCCAGCGGUGCUUCCUGUGUGCCCUGCGCUAUUGUAUAAACCCUGCAGUCUCCUGGGAGGUGUUUGGAGUCUCCUGGAAUUGAAUUGCAUGCAGGAGAAGAAACUGUGCUUCCUGAGCAGGUGAGGAAAUGGGCUCAGCUGCUUCCUUCAGCUAUGGUCAAGCAGCUAGUGAGUCUCAGAGCUAGAAUUUGAGCCUGGGCAGGUGAGCCCAGGACCUAAGACACUGGCACCACCUUGUCCGGAUUGACAAAGAACAACUGAAGUCUGCUGCCUCCAAGUUGUGACCAAAGUCACCGCAAGAUUCCUGGAGCCUGGAACACGAUGCGACACAAGCAGAGGAAGCAGCGGCCCAAGCUCUGACGGGAACAUGCUUCUACACGCGAGCUCACGGAAGCCCACACAGCGCUCCCUCGGGCGCGCCUGCGUGGAAGGGACCACCCCACCUCCCCCUGCCCAGUUCCCAGCUGCCUGCUCGGGGUCGCCCCGCAGAAUCAGCCCACCAAUCCAUCAGCGGGCAGCAGGCUCCGAGCUGCUGGGGGCAUAAAUCAAAUGGCAAGGAGGAAAGGUUUAAAAAAAGACUGGAUAGUCUGGAUUCGUCAGUGCUAAUAACUGAGUGGUCUAAAUGGAUAAUGCUGAAAUCACGGAGAGUGUUGCUGUGGACGGCAAAACUGUCACGUACAAAGAAGAAAAUCAUCUUGUUCGGAAGGAAGGGAGGCAAUAAACGCAGCAGAUCCGUCUGCCCUUUGACCUUUGCGAGGAUUCAGUGGGCCUCUAGGUAGCGCUAGUGUGACACGACGAGCCAGCCAUUGCUCUCAGCAUCUGCUAAGACGGGUGCAAGCAGUUCCAUUUUACAGGAAGAGACCGAUUGCUCGCUUUUCUGACCACGAAGACAGCUACAAAACUCCUACUGAUGACAAAACAGACCCGUAGCAGGAACUCUAGACUUCUCUCCGGUUGGGAUUUAGUACCGCUGGGCUCCUUUCUGAUCCUCGCUAGGAACUAAGUCAUCAAGAUGUAUAGCCCCACCCCCACCCCCCUUCUUCUUUAGCUCGAGCAGGUAACUUUCCAGAAGAGGAGCUGGCUGCAGAAUCUUUUACACUUGGGGUAAGACGGCUGAGUGUCAACAAACAGUAGCUGUCCUGAUGUAUCAGGUCUUCAAUGAUGCUUUAAUCUCAAGACCACUUGAUUCUUACCGCAACUGAGAAACCUUACAGGUAGAAAUACACGCGCGAUCUAGGGCCUUUUGGCUCUAGAGUGCUUUUCAAGAAUGUAACUCUUGGAGCACACUGUAGGACAGCGCUGGGCAAAUCCUGGCUUCAGGUCAGAGCUUGAUGCUCAGAGGUGAAGCGAGUUCCGGAUUUCUUCCUGGUUAGACAGGAAGCAGUUAAACAACUCUGUUCUCCUACCACAAGGAGGCGCUGUGAAGAUCGCGGUAGACCUGGAUCUUGGUUCUUGGUCACAGCGUUCUCAUAAUUAGAGACAUCCAGGAUGAGCCCAAAGGGACCUCAGAGGUGCCAGGUUUGGUGCCACCCUGUCACAGAGUGGCACCAUAGGGCAGAGGUGUCUCUGGUUCUCGCCUGGUGCUGGAGCCAGGCUUUGGGUGGCCACUAGGUCUCUGCAGGGUACUGAAGGCCUGCAGAGUCCUCCUCCUCCAGAGCAGUGAUGCUUCCAGAACCAGUGAGCACUUGCGUUUCUGCUCCUGUCUUUAAUCAGAGUGGUUUCAAGUGUCUGGUUUAUUUUUUAAACAUAGGAAAGAUUUAGCAUCAAACUUACAAGUAUUAAUCUUUGGACAUACUUUAUUUUGGAAUAAUUCAGAUUUAUAGAAAAGUGGUGAAGAUAAUACAGACAGAGGCCAUAUACCGCUCUCCCAGCCUCCCCCAAUGCUGACCUCCAAAUGACCAGGGAAGGGAACAUUAGUUUAUUACUAUUCACUAACGCCUGAAUUGGAUUUCAGCAAGGUCUCUCUUACUGUCUUUUUACUGUCUUGGCAUCUGGUCAGGGUACCAUACUGCAUUUAAGAGGGUAUUACUUUCUAUUACAAUACAGAAUUAAUUUCCUAAACAAACCAUGCCACAUGCACACACACACACACACACACACACACACACACACACACACACAAAGAAAGGAAAAGUCCCCUCUGCCCUAUUAAGUUUGGUCUGUAGCCUUCUAGAUCUUCAUCAUCCAAUACGAUACCUGGCUGAUGAGGUGACCACAAGUUAAAUGAACUAAAAUCCACCAUAACUAACAUUCAGUUCCUCAGUCACACUGAUUACAUCCCAUGGGCUCAGUAGCACACAUUGCUGGUGGUUACCAGCCCCAGGCAGCAUAGAGAGCAGAGCCUUCCAUAGCACACCGGGCUUGCAUUGUUCUAGGUGUGUUUCUAGGUUUAAAUAUACGUGUUUAACAUUUUACCUAAUUUUUUCCCCCAUUGAUUGACUUUUUCUUUCAUUAAAAGAUUUGUAGCAUGCAA